UUUUGGACAAGGGGGGAAACUCUGAUCCAGCCAGCCCGCGGGUAAGAUGAAGGCCCACGGGUUGUAAAGUACUUUUGGCAGAGAAGAACAGGUAUCUCCUAAUACGAGAGACGGCGGACGGUAUCUGCAGAAUAAGCACCGGCUAACUACGUGCCAGCAGCCGCGGUAAUACGUAGGGUGCAAGCGUUAAUCGGAAUUACUGGGCGUAAAGCGUGUGUAGGCGGUUCGGGAAGAAAGGUGUGAAAUCCCAGGGCUCAACCUUGGAACUGCAUUUUUAACUGCCGAGCUAGAGUAUGUCAGGGGGGGGUAGAAUUCCACGUGUAGCAGUGAAAUGCGUAGAUAUGUGGAGGAAUACCGAUGGCGAAGGCAGCCCCCUGGGAUAAUACUGACGCUCAGACACGAAAGCGUGGGGAGCAAACGGG
rnacentral:rRNA from 1 species